rnacentral:rRNA from 1 species
GGUGAACGCUGGCGGCGUGCCUAACACAUGCAAGUCGAGCGGUACAGUUUGAAGCUUCGGUGGAGAGCCGUAUAGCGGCGGACGGGUGAGUAAAGCGUAGGAACGUGCCCCUCGGAGUUGGAUAGCCAUGGGAAACUGUGGGUAAACCGACAUAGACUCGGGAGAGUAAAGGCCGAAAGGCGCCGAGGGAGCGGUCUGCGUCCCAUCAGGUAGUUGGUAGGGUAAAGGCCUACCAAGCCGACGACGGGUAACCGGUCUGAGAGGAUGGCCGGUCACAAGGGCACUGAGAGACGGGCCCUACUCCUACGGGAGGCAGCAGUGGGGAAUAUUGCACAAUGGGCGAAAGCCUGAUGCAGCAACGCCGCGUGAGCGAAGAAGGCCUUUGGGUCGUAAAGCUCUGUCGGGUAGGAAGAUAAUGACGGUACUACCCGAGGAAGCCCCGGCUAACUACGUG